UACGUAGGGGGCAAGCGUUGUCCGGAAUUAUUGGGCGUAAAGGGCGCGUAGGCGGUGCGGUAAGUCUGCGGUGAAAUCUCCCGGCUCAACUGGGAGGCUGCCGUGGAAACUGCCGUGCUUGAGUGUGGGAGAGGUGAGUGGAAUUCCCGGUGUAGUGGUGAAAUGCGUAGAUAUCGGGAGGAACACCAGUGGCGAAGGCGACUACCUGGCCUGUUCUUGACGCUGAGGCGCGAAAGCUAGGGGAGCAAACGGG
rnacentral:rRNA from 1 species